rfam:Rattus norvegicus chromosome 17, whole genome shotgun sequence.
GGCCUUGUGGCUUAGCGGGUCAAAGCGCCUGUCUAGUAAACAGGAGAUCCUGGGUUCGAGUCCCAGCAGGGCCU